AGCAUACGGGAUCCAACUGAACUUUUGUUCUUAUUAAUCCUUUUUUUCAUAACUGGGAAAAUCUACCAUAUGUGUACUUUUAAAAAAUCCAGUUGGCCUUCUAUGUUUAGAAUCCUUUCUUUCAAAAUUGAGUUGACUUUAGUUGGAAGAGGAGAACAACUGUUUAGCCAGCGAAAUGUCUUGGCUUUUGAGGGAGAACAAGGAGCUGCAGAACAAAAUGAAAGAUAAUCCAGAAAGAGAUACUGACAGAGAUGAGGAAAGGGAGUAUGAGGUGUUAAAGGAGAAAUAUGAAAAGGACCAGAAAGUCAUCAGCAGAGUGAAGAUUGAGGUCUCAAAAAAAAACUGAGAAAAAGAAAGAAUUGGUAAGAGCUCAGGAGCAGGCAAUUGAUGAUGUCUGCUCCCAACUCGUAUCUCUACCCGUCUGGGGAAGACCAUGACAGUAAGAUUUGUCCUUCCAUUUCUUGGAGAGAAAUAGACGUGUUUCAAUUGAUGACUCUCUAUUUCGUUCUAAAAUAUUUGUUUAACACUUUUCAGUCUCUGCCAGAGAACAGUCAAAAGAGAAAUCUGAUUGCAUACAAAAGUAUCUAGGUGUUAAGUGCAACCAUUUCACUUUGUAUUGCAAUCAAGGAAAUGACGAUUCCCAACCAUAGAUCAUAGUAGAGACGGAUGAAAUCUUCCACAUUUGAGAAGAGAGGGAAAGAUGAGAGCAAUUGGAAUCUAAGAAUAUUCCCAGGAUUUCCCAGGUAUUCCUAUUCAAAAAUCUUUAACCAAAUAUAACAUAGACAAAGAU